rnacentral:rRNA from 1 species
AUUGAACGCUGGCGGAAUGCUUUACACAUGCAAGUCGAACGGCAGCACGGGGGCAGCCCUGGUGGCGAGUGGCGAACGGGCGAGUAAUACAUCGGAACGUGCCCGGCCGCGGGGGAUAACGUAGCGAAAGUUACGCUAAUACCGCAUACGAUCUGAGGAUGAACGCGGGGGACCUUCGGGCCUCGGGCGCUCGCGCGGUCCGAUGUCCGAUUAGGUAGUUGGUGGGGUAAAGGCCUACCAAGCCGACGAUCUGUAGCUGGUCUGAGAGGACGACCAGCCACACUGGAACUGAGACACGGCCCAGACUCCUACGGGAGGCAGCAGUGGGGAAUUUUGGACAAUGGGCGCAAGCCUGAUCCAGCCAUUCCGCGUGGAGGACGAAGGCCUUCGGGUCGUAAACUGCUUUUGUACGGAACGAAAAGGCUCUGGCUAAUACCUGGGGCUCAUGACGGUACCGUAAGAAUAAGCACCGGCUAACUACGUG